rnacentral:lncRNA from 1 species
UGACAACAUGCAGUGCUACACUGAACCACCAGGGAGUUCCAAAAAACUCUCUUUUUUUGCUUGAAGAAGGCAGCUCAUAGAUUUCUGCAUAAUGUUAAAACUGAUCUUUGUCUGUUACCUCUUGAAAUUCCUUCUAGCUUUUCAUGAUAAUUGAAUGAGAUUUUGUGAUGUCUUUCUCAGAUUCCUAUCUGUAUCUAUAUAUCUAUACAUACACAUGUAUUUGAUGUAGAUGAUUCAAGUGUUGGGUUGAGAAUGACAGGCCAGCAAAAAGGGAGAGAAAGAUAAAAAGCCUAGUUUAUUUCUGUGUUGUCUUGUUAGUUUCUCAGAGAGUUCUCCAUUGACUUGAUUUUAAUUAAGUUUUCUUUAAGCCUAAGAGUUCUGGGAAGCUAAGUGAGUGUGGGUGCCAGGUGGGACUAUGCCAGGAACUCCCAGAUCUAAUUUUUAAAAUUCUUCUUCAUAGCGAACAUUCACUACACAGAUCCUAUUGACAAAUGACCUGGAUCCAGCUGAGAGUGUCGGUUGAUCACUUGUGUUUGGUGUUGUCAAACGUGUCAGUGUUAGCAGGAAUGCUGAAUUGUCACCUGGCCCCUGGGUCAGAGAGGCAGCCUGAUGCGAGGCAGGGGCCUCGGCUGGACUGGGUGUUAGUAGAGAUAAGAACAGGGAGGAUCAGAGACAAUCUAAGUCACCCAAGGUCAAAGUCAUAUCCCAGGUCACCGGCAAAGGCGGUGGACAAUUCCGGUCGUCUGGGGCAGGACCUGCUCUCUUUUCUAACACCAGGCCUCAGGCCAUCUACAGUAGUUCUCAGCAUCUCAUGA